rnacentral:rRNA from 1 species
GUSNUAACAAGGUUUCCGUAGGUGAACCUGCGGAAGGAUCAUUA